ACAUUACUACCGAGAAUUUCAGAGAACAGAUGAAAGAGUCAUUUAUUUCAGUAGCUUCCUGUGUGAUCUAGCUUUCCAAAUUUUUAUGGUAUUCACCUUAUUGUGUUAGCUAGAUAUCCACCAAAGUUGAGCCCAGUUUGACAACGUUUACUAUUUUUAAAAAAUCCAAGUUUUCGAUUGUUCAAAACUGCCGAACAUGGUAGAUCGUGGUAAAAACGUCAUAUCUCUCAAACCACUUGGAGUUUUCGACUCUACUUUUUUUUAUAUGAAACUAGAUUCGAAGAUCUUUCUUUCAGUAUGAGUCUCGAGUCCAGGAGAUGUCGGAGUCAGAACAGAUUAAAUUUUGAAGUUGAGUCAGUGUAAAAACAGAGCAUGUUUUAAUGAUGUUUUUGGACUUCGGACUUUAAAGCGAACUAUUAUCAUUUAUUUCUUUAAAGCCACUGGUUUAUUUAAUUAAUUGGCUACUCUCUUUUGAGCCUAUUAAUUAUUUG
rnacentral:lncRNA from 1 species